AAAACAACCCAUUCGCCUGAGAACUACCAGCACGAGCUAAAAACUCAAAAGACUUGACGGUGCUCUACCCUACCUAGAGGAGCCUGUCCUAUAAUCGAUACCCCACGAUCCACCCGACCACUACUAGCACCCCAGCCUAUAUACCGCCGUCGAAAGAAUAUCCUGCAAAGGGCCCAUAAUUAUCCCAACAGCCACAUCACUAAAACGUCAGGCCAAGGCAUAGCUAAUGUAGAGGCAGAGAUGGGCUACAUUUUCUGGCUACAGAACAAACGAAAAAUAGCAUGAAACCUGCUACUCAAAGGUGGAUUUAGCAGUAAGAUGAAAA
rnacentral:rRNA from 1 species